GGCUGAGGUAGGAGGAUCACACGUUCCAGCCUGGGAAAUUUAGUGACAACAUAUUCCUCUCUAAGCUCUUAGGAUAAGUUAUAUACAAUAUGUUGUUUCAUUUAUUAUCUUAAAUCAGACAUGAUGUAAAGAAAGUUAGAACCUUCUCAUUAAUUCAGCCGUACUCUUUAGAACCAAUUCUAUUUCAGUUGAGUAGGCCCUCUGUUCUCUUCACCACGUAUAGAGGCAGAUGUCAGUCACAGAGGUCAGAUCUUUGCAUGACAGCAAGAGUGGAAUUCGGCUGCAUCCAUGCACAGGUUCACCCUGGCCAUCCCACCACUUUUGAACCAGCCAGGUGUGAAGAAGCUGAUGCUUGAUGGAGUGUACUCAGAUUCCAGGAAAAGCAAAGCUCCAUGUGACAGAAGCCACCAUAAACACAGAUAAGCAUUUCGUGGGGACAGAGCACCCUGCGAGCCAUGAAGAUUCCAGAGCUACAAAACCAGGACUGAGGUCAGCCAGAGCCCAGCCCGCCAGCUUGAGUCUCUCCCCGGAACUCCAGCCUCCUGUAGGCACCAGCCCGCUGAACACCUGUAACUGGACACGGAACAGCAAGGCUGCCUUACAGCACACUGGAGUUUCCGGAGUCCUCUCCUAGUCUUCUCUCGGGCCCAAGUCGGGGCCACGCCGUCCUCCCAGUGUUCCUGGCUGAAGAUGACAGUCACACUCUGCUUCUCUCUCAUUCUCACACCCCACAUUCUGCACGUGCAGAGCCUGGCAGUGUCAUCUUCGCUGCUCUUCUUGAGCACGUCCUUGGGAUCGGUGCCAGGGCCUCCUGCAGAUACCAAAUUGGCAAAUAAUCAAGUAUCUCCUAUAAAGUGAU
ensembl:lncRNA